rnacentral:lncRNA from 10 species
CCUCUCCUGCUGCCGUGUGAGAUAUGGCUGCUUCCCGUUCUGCCAUGAUGGUGCAGGAUUUCAGACGAGUAGCCACCUGGAUGAGAUACUGAUUUUCCUGCUGAGUAGGAGUUGAAACAGAAUGGAGGGUGGAGAGAAAGGAACCAGAAACAUGGAAGAAAACUGGAACCAGCUCACACAGAGCAUCUGAGGAGGAGAGGGAAGAAAAGCCUGCAGGAGCCCCUUUUGCCCUUGACUGCCCUGUCCUGGAAGUGACCCCUCACUUCUGCUCAGAUUCCAUCAGUGAGAACGAGGCACAGGGACCCACCGAGACACCAAUGGGCUGUGGGCUGAGGAAGAGGUCCUUGUUCUGCGCUUCCUGAGUCUGGAAUUCCUUGUCCUCCUCCUUUGCCUGGUGAACUCCUACUCAUCCGUCAAAGCUCAAAUCAAUCAAAUAUUUCUUUAUGAGGUCUGUUGUGAAUCUCCUGGUUGAAACACAAUAGGUAUUUUUUUUUUUUUAAUUUAAGAGUGCGAAAUUUCAGCUUACAACAAACUGGCUUCCAUAUUUGUAAAAAAAAAUUUUCUAUGAGUCUCUAUGAGUCAAUCAAUCAAAAUAUCUGUAGUGAUUAUUACUGGAUGGUGAGAUGGUAGAAUUAUAGUCACAUUUCUUUUACCUUUUUAUCUGUAUUUUCUAUUUUUCUGUAAUACACAGGAACUUCUUGUGUAAAUAAAUAAUGAAAUAAAACAGCAAAGUGGAAAGAGAUGAGAAUAAAGAAAUCACUGGAACAAUUAGGAGGAGACCCUUGAGAAACUCACCAGAAAAAGGCCGACCAAGGUGGCAAAAGUGCAGAAUGCCCAGAUUAGAGAUCUACAAAGCCACAGGGCUUUGCAAACAGGAGGAAUAGACAUUUCUGGCCAACAAAUUAUUAACAACUGCCUCCUUACAAGGAGUGGGGAGGAAACCUCUUUAGCAACACACUACUGAUAAAGAAACUUGAGGUUUCCAUAUAUGGAGACUAAAAUGAUGUACAAAGAGUUCUAAGGGUCCUGAAAUAAGGAACCAUCAUCCCAGCAUGGAACAGUGAAGUAGAAGGGGAACAGCAAGAUGAAGACUCCAGACAAGGCCCAAGCACACACAGCUGCUCCAGCCACACCCGCUGGUCUCAGUUGACUGGUUUGGAGGUGGACAUCUCACUCAAGCUCGGCCAAUGGGUGUCCCUCCUCUGGGGCUUUUGAACAUGGGAUUUUAGAGAGCUUGAGGAUGUCACUGGAGGCUGAUGUAACUCUUGGAGCUAUUGGAAACUAUUAGGAGAAUGCCAAUUAGCAGCAAGGAAGAGGUGAGCUCACAUGCAGAGAGAAACAGCUGCAGAGACUUGAUGACAUUAUUGGUUCUGGAUCCCAUCACGGCUGAAGGUUGCUUAUCAUUCUGCCCUUCACCUGGCUUAGUCUGGGAAGUGAUUUCUUAAUUUUCUCCAAGGCAAUACAUGUCCCUCUCCAUUUUAGCUGGCCUAAGAUAAUUUUUGUCAAUUGGAACCAAAUAGCUCUCAUUAAUACUGAUCACUGUACACUUUCCUGUCGAAAAUUUGAAAAUGGUUCUUCAUUCCCCUAGGAAUACAAAGCAAAAAUAAAAAUCUCUACCAUAGCCUACAAGGCCAGCGUGGGCUGGCUCCUUUCUGGCUCCUAGACCUCAAGUUGUAUCCUUGGACAUCACCUAUUAACAGGCCCUUGUCCAUGGGGCUCCCUCCAUGUGGAAUGCCCUCCCUUCGACCCUACUCAGUCUUCAGAUUACAGACCGACCACAGCUUCUCUGGGAAGCAUUUUCUGACCUCCGUGGCAGACCAAACUCCCAUGGAAUAGUCCCUUGGAGUACCAAGUCACCAUCUCCCCAGCACUUGCCACAAUUGUAAUUGUACUUUCAUUUGUGAUUAUGUGAUGGUUAUUUGUCUCACCUGCUGUCAGAUCAGUGGCAGCAUUAGAUUCUCCUAGGAAAAACCAACUCAGGGAUCCCAUUGAUUCUACAUUAUGGUGAGUAUGAAUAAUAAUAGGAAUAAAGUACACAAUAAAUGUUAUGUGCUGGAAUCAUCCUGAAACCAUUUCCCCACCCACCGUCCAUGGAAAAAUCAUCUUCCAUAAAACCGGCCAAAAAGGUUUGGGGACCACUGCUCUACACCAUCUCCAGCACCCAACUCAGUACCGUAGUGGCUGUCAGAUGGGUUUGCAACUUCAUGGACACUCCUCCUCUCAAAUUCUCCUUAAGUGGGCCCAGCUUGGUGACUCAUUUCUAAUGAAUGAAAUGCAGUGAAAGUGAUGUGAUGUAAUUUCUCAGGCUAAGUCCUAAAAGGAAGCUGCUUCCACUUGGCUGUCCCUCGAGGACUGUUUACUUUGAGAAAGGCUAUCUGUCAUUUUGUGAGGACACUCAAGCAGCAUGUGGAGGGCCCUAUAUAGGGAAGAACUGGGUCCUCCCACCAGUGGCUGUUACCAGCUCACUAGCCAUGCAAGUGAACCACCGUGGACAUAAAUCUUUUAUUCCAGUCCAGCCUCCAGACGACUGCAACCCCAAAUAACAUCAUUACUGCAAUCUUAUGAGGGACCCUGAGCCAGAACCACCCAGUUAAGUUACUCCCAAAUUCCUGAUCCACAAAACUGAGUGAGAUAAUAAAUAUUUAUUAUUUUAAGCCACUAAGUUUUGGGAUGAUUUGUUGUGCAAUAGGUAUGCCUGGCACGCAGUAGAUAUUCAGUGGCUAUUUGUUGCCUGUCUGGAUAAAUAAUACAGUGGAUAAAUCAAACUUAAAUUAUAGCCAAUGUUUUAAGCCUCCUCCUCUGCCCAUUUGGAUUUCUCCUAGCUCUGACAUUCUGGGCCCUAUGAUUGUAGUUGAUGUUGUCAGUGGCUGGCUUGUAUCACCCAGACCUUUCCAUGCUCCAUAUCUACUUCUUACUGCCAGGGUUUGUCUUUAGGGAUCAAAUCUUUGGAUAAUUCUAGGGAGUAUGUUUGCUCCAUUUCCCAAAGGAUUUGAGCUUCAGUUACUCAUAGGGGCCACUGGUUUAAUAACACAUGCUUUAUUCAUUGCCUCCCCUUCCUUGUAUUAUUCCACUACUUCCUUGCAUGUCCCAUAUCAACUACUUGUGCUCAGAUCCUUUCUUUAGGGUCUGCUUUUUUGGGGGACCCCACACUAAUACCGUGCUCUUUUUUGCAGGUAGGGGCCAUGCCUUGUACUUUCUUGUGCUCCCACAGGGCCUGAGACUGAGCCAGGUUCUCAAUUCUAGAACCAGUCUCCAGGUAUCCCUGUAGGAAGGUCCCCAUAGCUCUGGUGCCAGGAACUAAGAGAUGGAGUCCAUUGGAGGAAGACCAAAGCACACUUCUCUUGAGGAAGUGCCUGUUUUUAACUCCACAUCCUUUUGCCCUGUUCUCGUCUGCUCUGAUGGGAGCUCCUGGGUCUACCUGGGUAAGAGCCAGAGCUGUUAAUCACCAGGUGAUGAGAUACACACAGGCCUUAGUCACAGCCUCAAACCAGGGCUGCCUCUCCCAGUUCCCAUAGCAGAGCAGCUGUCUUUGAUUUCAGGUAGUUCAGGGGAGGAGGAGGGCUACGGAAAGGAGGGAGAAGUGAGGGAGGAGGAGAGGAGAAAGAAGUGAGGAACAGGGAAGGAAAAGGACCCUCUCUCCAGAGGCGCCUGACCCAGGGUACCUCUCCCUUUCUUGUGGGGUCCUUUCUGCUGCUUCUCCCAGUCUCCUGAGAUAGCACUGAAGAGGCCCUUUCUCUCCGACUGGGAGCUGACAGUUGUUGAUCUGUCUUUGCCAGGAAUUUUGCUCCAAAUAGUCUUUGUAGAUAUAAUUAAGGCUCUGGGCAUAAGAUCAUUGCUGAUUUAGGGUGGGCCCUAAAUCCAAUGACAGGUGUCCUUAUAAGAGAAAGGGACAUUACACACAAACACACACGGCAAGGCUGUGAGAAGAUGGAGGCAAAGUGGAGUGAUGCGUCUACAAGUCAAAGAAGAAUAAGGGUUGCUGGAACCACCAGAAACUACGAGAGAGGCAUGGAUCAGAUUUUCCCUUGGAGCCUCCAGAAGGAGCUAUCUCUGCCAAUACCUGGAUUUCAGACUUCUGGCUUUCUGAAUGAAAAACAUUGCUGUCCCUUGCUACAGGAUGCUUCUCAAAUGCCAAGAAUUCUACCAUGCCCCUGGCCAGCUCCAUCAGACAAGAUGGGCAGAAGGCAGCACUGCCCCAAGGUGGCACUGCCAGGGACUUCCAUCCCCCUCCAGCCACCAGAGUGACUGAGGACCAUGGAGAUUGAGAGCCCCAGGAAAUACUCCUUACCUGGGCUUUCACAGCCCGAGAGACCACCAGGAUGAACCCCACACACAGCUGCCACCAGGAACCACAGCCCCGGGUCAGGACAGUGAAUUUAGAUAAGAUGCUCUGGAAGGAACACCUGCCCAGUAACAGCACCUCUACCAAUGAACUGACUCCAAUGCUGGCUUCGAGGCUCUAAAAUCAGUAAACUCUGUUUCCCAGCAGCUUAUGUGAAUGUCUCCUUUUGC